rnacentral:rRNA from 1 species
CAGCCGCCGCGGUAACACAGAGGGUGCAAGCGUUAAUCGGAAUUACUGGGCGUAAAGCGCGCGUAGGUGGUUUGUUAAGUUGGAUGUGAAAUCCCCGGGCUCAACCUGGGAACUGCAUCCAAAACUGGCAAGCUAGAGUAUGGUAGAGGGUGGUGGAAUUUCCUGUGUAGCGGUGAAAUGCGUAGAUAUAGGAAGGAACACCAGUGGCGAAGGCGACCACCUGGACUGAUACUGACACUGAGGUGCGAAAGCGUGGGGAGCAAACAGGAUUAGAUACCCCGGUAGUCCCUGUCUCUUAUAA